rnacentral:rRNA from 1 species
UGGGGAAUUUUGCACAAUGGGCGCAAGCCUGAUGCAGCGACGCCGCGUGAGGGAUGAAGGCCUUCGGGUUGUAAACCUUUUUCGCUCAUGGUCAAGCCGCAGCUUUGGGUUGUGGUGAGGGUAGUGGGUAAAGAAGCGCCGGCUAACUACGUGCCAGCAGCCGCGGUAAUACGUAGGGCGCGAGCGUUGUCCGGAAUUAUUGGGCGUAAAGGGCUUGUAGGCGGUUGGCCGCGUCUGCCGUGAAAUCCUCUGGCUUAACUGGGGGCGUGCGGUGGGUACGGGUUGACUUGAGUGCGGUAGGGGAGACUGGAAUUCCUGGUGUAGCGGUGGAAUGCGCAGAUAUCAGGAGGAACACCGAUGGCGAAGGCAGGUCACUGGGCCGUUACUGACACUGAGGAGCGAAAGCGUGGGGAGCGAACAGG